rnacentral:lncRNA from 1 species
CAAGAUAUCUAAUGAUGAUAUGGCAGCCAGUAUCAAGAAGCUAGCUGACUCUCUUGCAUCUCCUAUUGUUUCUGUGCAACCAAUGCCACCUACAGAUCCAUAUGCAAACCUUUGGAAGCGGAUAAAUGCCCUUACCAUACCAGCUAAGGAUAAACUUGAGAUUGUAGCAUAUCUAUCCAAGCCAGAUCAAGAUAUCUUUCGUAGUUACCUCAACUAUGCUGAUGAAACAAUUCUUGGACAGUGGAUCCUUAGCUUCUUCGAGCCUCGGUUUCAAGAAGAUGGUGGCAAUGGUGGAUCUGCAACUGCUCACUGAAUGGCCACAUGACUAGAUAGAGAUUGCGGCUUCCUUUUGUUUACCGCUAGGAGCAUGGGUAACAUACAUCAUGCAUAUUUUGUCUAUAUAGAGCAGGCUGGGUGCAUCAUAUUUUGUUUAUAUGGAGCAGACUUGGUGCUAGUCUGACUAGUAUGACUUACUUGGUCUGGUAAAGACUUGGUUACUAUGUGAAUUUUAUUUAGCCUCCUUGAUGAUUAAUCUGAUGUAUCGAACAAUAUGAGUUAUCUAAUGUAUUAGUUGAACCAUGUCAUUGUCAAU